rnacentral:tRNA from 1 species
CGUUGUGUGGCUUAGUUAGUUAAAGUGCCGCUCUAGCGAAUACGGAGUCGUGGGUUUGAAUUCCACCAGAACGC